UUCGACAUGCGCGUUUUUUGUUUAUCAUUAAAAAUGACUCAAUUUUUGGACAGUAUAUUUUACACUGCUAUUUUACAAGAUUUCAACACUGUAUAAGCUUAUCUUGUGAAACUUGGAUCAUGGAUUUUUACAAAUGGAUUAAGGUCAUAAAACCUGGGAAACGCAUGCCUGAAGGCAAUGAACCAUAUUUGCGUAAUUGGGUAAAUAACCAUGUAUACAGGUAGAAAACAAUUGCUUCACCCAAAAGCGUUUUAAAUGAUAUCUUCCAAUUAAGGUGGUACAGAAAAUCCCCGCGUGAUUUGUAGACAGGUAUGUAACUUACCUGGUAGAAGUCCCAGACCAGUGACCUGUAUGCCCGCCCUGGUGGAUUGUGGGUCUCACGCUUGCCGUCCCGAUACGAGGUCACGUCCAGGUUGACCCCAAACUGCACAAACUCCUAGAGGUCACAGGAAGAAGAGCAGGCUUAAGGGAUGUUGAUAAACAAGACUUAUAGCAUUUUCUGAUGUGACGGCGAACUAACAGGGGCUUCUUCUCCCAUAACUCACUGAUAACAGACACACACACAAACACUUGUAUCAGAGAAAUACAUCAACAUUCGACCAGUAAUUGUGCUAAAAUAGAUGUGAAAGAGUUCAAAAUGUUGAAAACUAUACAACUGGAUAGACCUAUGGAAAUGCAAACAAGGUUAAUCAAGAAGGAUCAUGCAGGUCACAUAUACGAUACUGUGAUAAGGAAUUUACCUCCA